AGAAAGAAACUUCUAGGCAUUACUUUCCUCUUCUUCAUUGAGCAAAGCCGCCAUAACCAAGGAUCAAAGAAUCAUACAGAUCGGAAACAUGCAUAGGUUUGUUGAGUUGUUAGAGGUAAAUAUGAGUUCCAUUUAGUUGACUUGACCUUAUAACCUCAAAUAUUUGGAGUUAUCCAUUAUCAACUACAUCCACAAGUGUUAUGGCUGAAUAUAUCCCAAAUUGGAAUGGCUCCAACAUUGAGUCAAUCGGAAUCUCUAAAUCAACAACUUAGGUUAUGUUCUAUGGCAAGGUGUUGAUUGUGACAUUAGAUUUCAUUCGGGCUUCUUUAGGAGAAAUUGCCUUGAGUAGCAUUGCCUCCUACUCCUCUUUUGUUUAGAAGCACGAGCUCCAGAGCAUCAGUAGCAUUCUAGUUUUGGCAGUCAGAGUUAGC